rnacentral:rRNA from 1 species
GCUCUCGCAUCGAUGAAGAACGCACUAAAAUGCGAUACUUGGUGUGAAUUGCAGAAUUCCAUGAACCAUCGAGUUUUUGAACGCAAGUUGAGCCCGAUGUCAUUAUGCUAAGGGCACGUCUACCUGGGUGUCACGCACAUCGUUACCCUCCGUCCCCUUUCCUAAUGUGAGAUCAUGUACAUUGGGCUGGACACUAGCCUUUCGUGUGCAUUCAUGCAUGGCUGGCCCAAUUGCAAUUCGACAUCGACACGAUUCACGGUAAUUGGUGGUUGAAGACCUCAACUCUCGCGUUGUCGCGCACGACUGCAUCGUUCUAUCGGAAUGCCUCGAACCCUGAAGGUGCUCCUCGCACCUCGACGAUGACCCCAAGUCAGGUAGGAUCACCCACUGAGUUUAAGCAUAUUAAUAAGUGGAGGAAAAGAAACUUACAAGGAUUUCCCCAGACACGACGAGCGAUCCAGGAAAAGCCCAACUUGAGAAUUGGACGACCCUGUCGUUCGAAUUGUAGUAUGGAGAAGCGCCCUCAGCGAUGGAUCGAGCUCAAGUCCCCCAAAAAAGGGUGCCAGAGAGGGUGAGAGCCCCGUUGUGCUCGGACUUACUGCACCACGAGGCGCCGUCGACAAGUCGGGUUGUUUGGGAAUGCAGCGAUAGCGAGAGAC